rnacentral:piRNA from 1 species
UCCUAGAGACAUUUUUCCCCUUGGUGGA